rnacentral:rRNA from 1 species
AGCGAACGCUGGCGGCAGGCCUAACACAUGCAAGUCGAACGGACCCUUCGGGGUUAGUGGCGGACGGGUGAGUAACACGUGGGGACGUGCCUUUAGGUUCGGAAUAGCUCCUGGAAACGGGUGGUAAUGCCGAAUGUGCCCUUCGGGGGAAAGAUUUAUCGCCUUUAGAGCGGCCCGCGUCUGAUUAGCUAGUUGGUGAGGUAAUGGCUCACCAAGGCGACGAUCAGUAGCUGGUCUGAGAGGAUGACCAGCCACAUUGGGACUGAGACACGGCCCAAACUCCUACGGGAGGCAGCAGUGGGGAAUCUUGCGCAAUGGGCGAAAGCCUGACGCAGCCAUGCCGCGUGGAUGAUGAAGGUCUUAGGAUUGUAAAAUCCUUUCACCGGUGAAGAUAAUGACUGUAGCCGGAGAAGAAGCCCCGGCUAACUUCGUGCCAGCAGCCGCGGUAAUAC